AGGCAACGAAGGAAGGUGCCCAGCAUAUCCAGUUAUCUGCUGUUCAUCCGCUGAUGAAGUGACUGCUUUAGUAGCAGAGCUGCCAAGUGUGUUCCUUCAGUUAAGGGAAAUUUGUUCUUCUUGCUUGCUCUUAGGAGGAGAGAAGAAUCUAUGCAUUGGUAAUAAAUGCUGUUAGAGCACAAUCACAGCUUUGCUUAAUGAAAGUAAAGCUGUUUGGCUACUUUGUGCCUGUACUGUAAUAACCAUAUAACUCUUGGUGGUGGGGAGUGCCAGCUUCAAUCAUGUGCAUGUGUGGAGGAAGCAAUGGAUGCCUGCAAUGAUACUACACUGGCCUGAAAUAAAGAAAUUUUAAUAAUUCAUAAGAUAUGCUAAGUUUUCAUUAUUAACACAACUUUGAAAUUUGAAUUCAAUCUCUUUGAAGGUAAGUCACUGCUAAUAGGACUUCUUCUAAGAUAAGAUUUAGCAAAGUCAACCCCCCCUUCAAUACUGAAGCAGAAAGAACAAUCAAAAUAAGGAAAACUUAGUGCAGACAACUGCCCCUCUGACUUGAAUGAAUCAAUAUCUAAGAUCUUCUCUUUUUUGUGUUUUAAGAAUACUUUUUGUACUAAUGUCUAGGACUUGACACUUUCUCAGACAAGCAUAAUUUGAUGUUUUGAAUUAAUUCAAUGUUGGUUCUUGCUUUCCCAUGGCAGGUGAUUCUGUAUUUGUCUGUGUAAUCAGCACAUCUUUGCCUGUAUGCCAGAGCAUCUGAUAAGCAGUUGGUAAAAUAUUGAGAACUAAUUUUAUAUAUAGGGUCUGUCCUGCCAAAAGUAGUUACUAUGCAAAUAAAUUUCUUUUCAGGGCAGAUGGAAGGAGGAAGUGAAAGAUUAUAGAGCAGCACUGUCCUGAAAUCAGCAAAGAGUGAGGCAAGCCAGCACUUCUUGGUAACAGCGCAUGUUCUGUAAAAAUUUUAACCAGAACUGUAUGGAACAUGAAUAUAAUAAUGGCAUACUUGAAGCAGGCAACUGGAUUUGGUCAAAUUAAGCUUGUAUGCAGGGCUCCAAGGUUUUUUUUCAGAACCAAUAGGUACCAUUCUGAAGGACUGGGUUCUGAGAAGCCUUUAAGAAGAAGCUGAAAUUCUAAGGAAGUUGAGAGGGCUCACGCUUUCAAAAGUCCAUUGGAAGAUUCUUGCGGAGAUCUUAUUAGUUUUGUUUCCUCUAAAAGGGAUACUUGUUUUAAAAUUAAGGGGGCUUUUUAGAAGCUUCCGAGUGGUUUGUUCUUAAGUUUUGUUUUUAAUCCUCCUACCCACCUUCCAUUCUGCACUGCAGCACCCUUCUCUAUAUGCAUGGUUUCAUUUUGAAUAAUCUGAUUUGGAGAUACCACAACUCUCAAAAAGCUAAGCUAUUUCUCUCUUUUUCUGCUAUUAAGUAAGAUCGCAUCCAAUACUUACAAAAAUGUAACAGCACAUUGUCUGCUAAGUUGUUAAGCAGUUAACUUGACUUGUUUGAAACAGGGUCCAAGUUUGCCCUAAGGUGUCAGACCACGCCUGACAAGUUAUAAAUUUGGUGAUUCAUAAAGUGUGGCUAGCUGGGGGUUGGGAACGUCUUAGGAAGCUAAUCCUGUUUGAUAAACAGUGGUGUAGUCAUCAAGUAACAAAGUAAAAAUAUGCUCACUGUGAAAGGUAAAUGUUUAAUAGAAACCUUGUGUCCAUUUACAUAAAUGCCAGUGUUUUGAAAGGUAUUCUCUUCUGCUGUUACCCAACAGGAAGAAAAAUGCAUGGUUCCGUAUUUGGGCACUCCUAACUCAAUUCUCCUAUGCUGUUCUCAACUUGAAAUGUUCAAUACGUAAUUUAAUAUAUACAUUUUAGAUUCUUUUAUAUGCAUUUGGAGUUUUAACAUAGUUUUCAAGCAGCCUGCACUGCCCAAGGUUGUAGAGAGAUUUAGAGGAGGGAAGGGCUGGUUUUCAGUUUGUUCUUAAUCAGGGAUUUAAUGUAUUUCUUAAUGAAAUAGUGUUUAAUGCAUUAAAAUAUGACCAAAGGCUCCCUUGCAAGCCUUUACUUGUUCACGAAGAUAAGGGCUUAGUUAUAUGAAGGUUUCAUGAUCAGUCUUGAUUGAUGCUUUUUUAAGUUUUGUACAAAUUGUAUUUCAAGUAGCAAUUUAAAUAUUUCUGUACACUCUUAGAACAUCACCACAUGCAGCAAAACCACAAGACCCUGAGGUACUCAAAUAUCUCUGAAUAAAACAAGCCACAGGGUCAUGUAUAAACAGAUACAAAUAUGGGGGAGCAGGGGGUGGGAAUUGCAAGGUGCUGGAAGUCUGUGUACUGUAUAAAUAUCUGAGAUACCAAAUAGAUAAGACUGUAGCAACAGUGAAAGAAAACAUAAGCAAAGCCAGUUACUUCAGUCGAUAAAUGAAGGUUAAGGCAUGUAGUUCCUCGUUGCUCUUGGACAAAACCCAGCAAUAGCGACAGACGGCUGUUCCACAACUGCCUUUGCAGCAUGUGGAGCUGCCUGUUCCUUUGACUCGUGGUAGCAGUGUGCUAAUCCAGAAAAUGGAGGCUUGCUUUCUGUGGUCCUGGGAUGAAAAGCAUUAUUGCAAAUAACCUGAAGUUUUAAAUAAGCUGCAUUAGGCUUGGUGUGAAAAUUGUAACUUAAAUGGGGGGGGGGGGGGGGUUGGUUGAUUGAUUUUUCAGAUCUUUUAUCUAUGUUGCUCUAGUGUACUGUGUUUGAGUCCCAAUUGCAAACCACCAA
rnacentral:lncRNA from 1 species